GAGACAUCAGAGGCUUUUUGUUCCCCUUAGCUGGGAGGUUUUUAGUUGUAAUUAACAAGCUGACUGAUCAGAGAUGUGAUGCAAAUGGCGACUUGAGCAACAGAAGCCCCUUUUGUUUUGUUGGCCAUAGAUCCAUGGCCAAAUCUGCAUGCAGAGGUUUUCCCGGAGCAGUGUAUGGGCGUGCGUGCCUGCAUUUGUGUGUGUGCAGGCUGGCCACAAUGAUCU